CUACGGGCUGCUGCAGUGAGGAAUAUUGCACAAUGGGGGAAACCCUGAUGCAGCAACGCCGCGUGGAGGAUGACGCAUUUCGGUGUGUAAACUCCUUUUAUCAGAGAAGAAAAUGACGGUAUCUGAUGAAUAAGCUCCGGCUAACUCCGUGCCAGCAGCCGCGGUAAUACGGAGGGAGCAAGCGUUAUUCGGAAUCACUGGGCGUAAAGGACGCGUAGGCGGGUUUUUAAGUCAGGUGUGAAAUCCUAGGGCUCAACCAUAGAACUGCACUUGAAACUGGGGACCUAGAGUAUGGAAGGGGCAGGUGGAAUUAGUGGUGUAGGGGUAAAAUCCGUAGAUAUCACCAGGAAUACCGAAAGCGAAGGCGACCUGCUGGGACAUUACUGACGCUGAGGCGUGAAAGCGUGGGGAGCAAACAGGAUUAGAUACCCGUGUAGUC
rnacentral:rRNA from 1 species